GGUGUCUGCCGCUGCAGGCUGCAAGGAGUGCAGAGGGAAGGGCGCGGUGGAAUGUGAAGGGUGCAAGGGGACCGGCAAGAACAAGAAGAACGGCAACAUCUUCGAGAGAUGGAAGUGCUUCGACUGCCAGGGGUUCGGGAUGCGGAAAUGCCCCAGCUGCGGCAAGAAAGGCCUCACGCCCGAGCAGAGAGGAGAGAGGUAGAUAGUAUACUCCAAGGAUGCAUGUAUCCUUCAAUGCCAAUGGCAUAUAAAAUACACUAUUAUAUGCUCUGCAGUAAUCAUAUACCACUCUGAACCAAGGCGAAUGCCGCACUUGGUACUUGUAUAGAGACUGGCAUUGAACAAUGUCUACACACUGUUAAUGCGGAUGAGCAGCGUGUAACUAUAAGUAA